rnacentral:tRNA from 1 species
GGGACGUAGUUCAAUGGUAGAACAUUUGCUUAGUGUGUAUAAGGACCUGGGUUCAAUCCUCAGUGCCACCA